CGGCCCUCGCGGCGCCUGGUCCCAUGUAUGGGCGGCGCCGCGGCAGUGGCGGCCGGGACGGCGGCCGGGUUGGCGGCUGAGGGCGGCCGCGCCGCAGGGCGUGUUGUGCGCUCUCUUUCCUGCAGCGCCGUUCUGCCUCUCUCGAUUUCAGUGUCAGCAGCGUUGCUUUGUGGAGCCCAUGUCUUCUGCCUCUUUGCUAACCCGCUCCUCCCGCCGCCCGGCCGGCUCGGACGCGCUCUUCCUCAGGAGGCCGCCGCGCGACGCGCCCCGGAGCAGCUGUCGCCAGCGCCGCCCGCCCGUCACCUCGUGGUGCCGGCGCGCGUGGUCCCCCGCGGCUGCGGGAGAUCGUACCUGCCCUGGGCGCCUCAGGGAACAGCUAGCUUACUACUGCUGCAUGUUGAAAUUAGCUUCUUUUCCCAUGAACUACGGAGGAAAUCUGUUAGCUGACACUUUACGGUCUUCCUAACUAACGCAGCUGUUCAGUAGAGGCUCUGUGGCUGCGUCGUGAAGCAGAAACAGACGGAACAGCAGAGAAGGGCGCCCUUCGCGUGCCCACCUAGUGGGGGCUUCUGAUCGGGAGCUCCGCGUUCGUAGCGGAGGGCCCAGCCACGGGGGAGCCUGGAUGUUCCGGAGCGAGUGCUGGUUGGACUUUUCGGUAGGAAAGUGGUGAACCUUUUAGUUCUCUCCUAUUUGUUAUAUUGGAUGGAUGGACAGAUAGAUAGACAUUUUGUCCCUGCAUGUCAUUUGUUUCUCCCCCACCCCGACACCCUCUAAGCACUGGGAGAGCAAGGACUGACACUAUCUUUCCGGCCAGCUGCAGAGCCGCGCCGAAGGCCCGAGCCACAGUAGGUGUUCAGUAACCAUGUGUUGCAUGGAGGAUGCCUAACGCUCUUCUUCUGGCUACAUGUUUCUGAACCUUAAAGUCUCAGCUAAGUCAUCAGUUCUCUAGGAAGUCGUCUCUGACAGCCCAGAGCUAGACUCGUCGUCCUCACAUGCUCCCUGUACCUUCCCUACCACAACAGCUUGCUCACACGGUAUUGAAAUUGCCUGUUUACUUGUCUCUUGUCCAGUCCCCAGUAGACCAUCAGCUCUGUGAUGGCAGAAACUGUGUCGGUCACAGUCCUCAUUGUAUCCUUGGUGCUUAGCAGAGUGCAUGGUACACAGUAGGUGUUUAAUAAGUGCAUGACAAAUACCUGAAUAAAUAAAUAAAUGUUUUGAAGGCAGGUGCAGCAGGAUUUCAUGGCCACUUGGAUGUGAGGUGAAGGGGAGAGAGAAAUCAAGAAAUUUUGGAAACUGGAGGAAAUGAUGAUGGUAGUUAAUUAAAUGGGAACUUCGGAGGGAGGACCGUGCAGCUGCGGAGGAAGAUGGGUUAACUCGGCCCUUUCUGACAGCGCUUAAUUUCAUUACUGAUAUCGCUCACUAGAGCCGACUGAGAGAUCUCAAAAUAUUUUGGUGACCUGGGCUUUGGCUUUUCUUUUUUCUUCUUGUUUUUUUUUUGAAAGUGGUGAGAAUGAAGAAGCUUUGUGUUAGAGUACAAGAAAAUUGAGGUGAUUAUUUUCUUGAAUAAGCAAUUUGUUGCCAUGCCAUAUUGGAUCAGAAUAAUCGUGCGUGUGCCCUGCCGACAGACCUUUACACUGGCUGCGCUCUACCUCCACAUAACUGAGACUUAGGAAUUGGAAGCUUUCCCACAAAAAUAUCCUAAUUGGCUCAAAGCACACACACGUCCAGCCGCUGCUGUUCUUGUUAAUUGUGUGAGCCACCUCCUCAUUCAAAGUGAAACAAAAUGAAAAGGAGGAAGGAGAAGUUGGGCCACUUCUUCCAUGCUCAACCUUGAUCAUCUGUUUUCAUCCUUAGUCAAAUCCGAUGCAGAAGUUAUAGUUCCAAUUUUAUUGCUACCAAAAAAAGAUGUGCUAAAAACAAGAUGUUAGAAAGAAAAUUCAGGUGAGGUUAAAAGACUCCAUUUCCUACUUCCGUACGACGUGGAAUUUCACAGGAAUCCUGGCCCUUUUAUCUUUCCCUUUCCCGCACCGUUUCUGAAGGAGCCAGAGAGAGAACCUACCUAAAGAGCAAAAGAUGGAUGAUGACCCAAAGCCCUCCCCACAGAUGCUUCCAGAAGGGACUGUGAAGAGUUCUGGGAAAUGGAGGAUGCCACUGUGCUCUGUAAUCCACACCUGGCUUCUCUUCCUUCAGUUUCUCUGAUGAACUCAUGUGCUCUGAAAUAAACUUCAGAAAAAUUAGAGCUCUGCCCAAGGUCUCCAUCACCUAGGUCUUUGCAAAAUUAAUAAAACACAGCAACAGAUCAAGAUCAUCAAAGGAACCUACUGUCAAGAGUGCUUUGCUUGCAGCUUUCAUGUAUAUGUGAAAACAAACAAGUCAAACUUCAAGACCUGGAAUUCUAAUGAGGGAGGGUAACAACAAACUUGUCUGAAACAAAAAUUAAUCAACUAUUAACCUGAAAAUAAAAGAAACAAAAAGAUGACGGGUUGUAUUUUGUUUUGUUUUGUUUCCUUUGGGGGUGGCUGGAAGGCUCCCCUCAGAUCCCCAGAAGAUGGAGGAAUUGGUAGAGGCUGGAGCUGUCAGAGAAGGCUUCAUGGGAAAGCCUUGAAGACCAGCCUUUUGAAAAGGCAUGAAAGCCAGAACGAAGACGGAGCAUACAGAGGGAGAAGGGACCACAGAGACACUGGUGUUUGUCUGGUAGAGCUGGAAUCAGAUCAGGAUGGACACAGUGCAGCAGGAGACACACAGCAGGUUACAGGCAGAUGGUGAGGACAGGCGAGGAAGCCAGAACUCACCACACCUUCCCCAUCUGUCUUCCUUGCCUUUUUCCUUGAAAAAAGUACUUAAUUACAUAGUACUUAAUUACUAAGCCGUAUACCUUUUAUGUUUAUUAUUAUAAGAUGUAUUUUAUUUUUGUCUAUUUACUUUGUUUACUAUCUUUCCCCAUUAGAAUGUAAGUUUCAAGAGGGUGAGAAUUUCUCUGUUGAAUCCUCAGUGCCUAAAAUAGCGCCAAGCAUACAUUGUGUUCAAUACGUAUUUGUGGAAGAAAAGAACAUAUAGAGGACACCUAAAAGACAUACUCUAAACCAGACCUGAAGACAAAGAAAGGAGCCUCUAAAAGCACAUUACUAUGUUUUUGGUAGAUCUCACAUCCUUCCCCUAUAGUUAGCAUGGUAUUUAAACCAAAAAGUGUGGCUCUAUUCGAGAUCAGCUUUGUGUAACAAGGGGCCAUAAGACAGCAAUAGCUUCUUGAGCAAUUUCAGUGGCCAUGCAAUUAUCAACUUCUACACCUUGUGUUUCUGAUAUCUCCUCUGGAAGCGGCACCAAAAGUUCAGACUUAUCACCUAGAUUUCAUCUUCAAGAUCUCCGGUGUUUCUUCCCAAUUUUUCUAUGCUGCCAUUCUAAAGCACAAGUUAACCACAGUGCAUUGGUCCUUCCUUCCCCUGUCUGCAAGAUUUCACUGAAACAAUACAGCAUUGGCCUUCUCUGAAUUCCUGUUUUGACGCUGCACUAGUUAUCUAUUGCUGCCUAACAAAUUACCCCACAGUUGAGUGGUUGAGAACAACAAACGUUUAUCUCACAGUUUUUGUGAAUCAGGAAUCUAAGCAAGGCUUAGCUGGAUCCUCAAGCUUAAGACCUCACACAAGGCCACAGUCAAGGCAUCACCCAGGGGCAGAGCCACUUCCAAACUCAGGAUUCCGUUCCUCAGGACUGCUGGCCAGAGGCCUCCCUCUCUUCCCUACCAGGCAAGGCUCUGCAAGGUCAGCUGGCUUCAGCUGAGUGAGUCAGCCCAAGAGCAGGACAGGGUAAGCAAGCCAGUCUUCCUGUAACCUCAUCUCAGAAGUGACAUUCAUCACAUUUGCUGCACUCUACUCCUUAGAAGCAAGCCACCAGGUUCAGUCCACGCUCAAGGGGAGAAGAUUAUGCAUGGGCGUGAAUAUCAGGGGAUGGGAUCAUUGAAAACUAUCUCAGAUGCUACCUACCACAAGUGUGUUAACAUAUGGCUUGCAAUCCACAUUCUAAUUCCUAAGGGCUUCGGGUGUAGUUUAUAAGACAAGAAAGUGGAUUGUGGUAAUCAUUUCAGAACAUAUACAAUGUAUGAUAUACAUACAUUCAGAAUGUAUAUCAAAACAUCUGUCUUUGUACCUCAUAAAUAUAUACAAUUUUUAUUUGUCAAUUAUACCUCAAUAAAACUGUGGGGAAAAAAUAAGACAAGAAGAAUGAGAAAAGGUAUAAACUUAUUUUAGUUCUUUCUUUGUAAAUUACUGUUUUAACUAAUCAAUCUUGGAUGAUCUUGGAUGAUUAAAUUUCAUAAAUUUAAAA